AAGUCGUAACAAGGUUUCCGUAGGUGAACCUGCGGAAGGAUCAUCAUCGAAUUCAUAUCCCCCUCCUCUCCCGGAGGGGGACCCAUGAUAAACCCUUCUGUGCACCGUAAACCGUUCACUUUGGCAGGCUUUGGUGGUGAGCGUGAGCUCGCCUCCAACCUCGCGUUCCCUCCCUAAGGGAGUGUUACGCGUGGCGGCCUGCCGGAGUCCCAUUAAAAAAACUCGUUUUCGAACACGUCUGAAAAUUUCCUUUGAGAAAUCAAAGAACCGAAAACAACUUUCAACAACGGAUCUCUUGGCUCUC
rnacentral:misc_RNA from 1 species